AUUGAACGCUGGCGGCAGGCCUAACACAUGCAAGUCGAACGGUAGCACAGAGGAGCUUGCUCCUUGGGUGACGAGUGGCGGACGGGUGAGUAAUGUCUGGGAAACUGCCCGAUGGAGGGGGAUAACUACUGGAAACGGUAGCUAAUACCGCAUAACGUCGCAAGACCAAAGUGGGGGACCUUCGGGCCUCACACCAUCGGAUGUGCCCAGAUGGGAUUAGCUAGUAGGUGGGGUAAUGGCUCACCUAGGCGACGAUCCCUAGCUGGUCUGAGGGGAGGACCAGACAGACUGGAACGGAGACACGGUCCAGACUCGUACGGGAGGCAGCAGGGGGGAAUAUUGCACACUGGGCGCAAGCCUGAUGCAGCCAUGCCGCGUGUAUGAAGAAGGCCUUCGGGUUGUAAAGUACUUUCAGCGGGGAGGAAGGCGGUGGAGUUAAUAACUUCACCGAUUGACGUUACCCGCAGAAGAAGCACCGGCUAACUCCGUGCCAGCAGCCGCCGUAA
rnacentral:rRNA from 1 species